rnacentral:lncRNA from 1 species
AAAAUUAUAAGGUCUAAAGCAGUUAUUUUACUUUUGGAGUGGUUGUGCAUCUUCUCACAAAAUAAUAUAAAUAUAUGUAUGGAAUACAGCACAACUAUUUUAAUGGUAUAUCAAUCGUUGUCAAAAUUCCAAUUCUUGUCAUUAAAGCAUUCUACCAAAUCAGUCUUCCUCACAGUCUUUGCUUCGCCAAAGUAUGUUUCCACAAUUUGCUUAGACCUCUUUGUGUUAAACCUAAAAUCUUCAACAUCACUAAUACAAUUUGGAUCAGUAACUACUGCAAACUCCUUGAGUGAAAAGCAUAAUAUUUUACCAUUCACAUGUAUGAAAAAUGAGUCAAUAGAACUUUCUUCCAUCUCUAGCACCAUCAAGUACUUGAACUACUGAUGUUAAACCUCACAAUGCUUCAUACUGAGGAAUAUAAGAAAAUAGGUUUUCUUAGAUAGUUUGUAUUGUUGUGGAGUAAGUUUUUCUUUGGGGUCAGAAAUCAUGUCGGUGCUAGUAUAAGAACUGAUAUGCACUAAUAAAGUAGGUGGGUGUUUAACAAAGAAUUUUACUUCCUGCAUACAAACACCACAAAAAGCAUGAAUACAUACUUGAAAAUACAGAUAAAUACAACUAGGUUGGUGUAAUACUUUCAUUGUAUUUAAUAUAGGAGGUUUCGGAGUUCAAAUAUAGAUAGAAACAUGUAUACAUGAAUACAUUAUUUUUAUUGUAUCCAAAAAUAUAGUACAUACAAAAUACAACCUUGAGUUAUGACAAUAAUGACAGAAUUAUUGGUGUGUUUAAAUUUGUUAUUUACUAAACUCAAAUACAUAUAAAUACAAUUAAAUAUAAAAAAUAAAAAUAUUGUAUGAAUUAAAAUCUGUGUAUGAGGACGAAUAAACAUAAAUACUUGUGCAAUAUAAAGUAGGGAGGUUAUAGAAAUAUACAAAAUAGAUUUGAAAAUAAAACAAAAAAAUUAGAUUACCUUGUCCAUCCAUGUUUUUGAGCUACUUCCGAUAAGUUUUUUUUUUCUUUUCACAUUUAUGUUUUGUACUAAAGCUUGAGGAACAUCAAGAACUGUGGAUCUUUUCAAAGAUUUCGCAUCUUGACCUUGUUUUCUCGGCUUCUAUAGUUGUUGAUGAACUUAUUAAUACAGAUUCCUCUUGAGUGAUUCGCAGAUCAAAGGAUAUGAGUGAUUUAGUGGGUAUACCUUAUCUAACCUUCUUCGGAAUUGCUAAAACAAAAUUUGAAGUUUUAUCCUCAAAACCUAACCAUGGCGAUUUUUAGAAAAAAAUGAGUGAAGAGAAAAAAGAAGAUGGUAGAGUAAUUUGGUAUGAACCGCUCAAAAGCUUUACCAAUUACCACGAACUUUUAGAGAAAAAAUAUGAGGAUCAAUUAUGAGAAAUUUGUUCCUACAAUCUUGUUGUGGGAGAGAGAUCGUGGAGAGAGAAAGAAGAAAAAUCUUGCUAUGAUUUGAAAGAGGGCGUAUAUUAACU